rnacentral:lncRNA from 1 species
GGCCUUUGCCCUGUUGGCUGGAACUGCCAUCUUCCAGUAAUUUGCCAAAAUAAUGAACACAAAGGGAAAGAAGAGAGGCACCCGACACAUGUUCUCUAGGUCUUUUAGAAAACAGAGAGUUGUUCCUUUGGCCACAUACAAGCAAAUCUAUAAGAAAGGCCAUAUUAUAGACAUCAAGGAAAUGGGUACUGUUCAGAAAGGAAGGCCCUACAAGUGUUACCAUGGCAAUACUGGAAGAACCUACAAUGCCACCCAGCGUGUUGUUGGCAUUAUUAUAAAUAAACAAGUUAAGGCCAAGAUUCUUGCCAAGAGAACCAAUGUGCAUAUUGAGCACAUUAAGCACUCUGAGAGCCAAGAUAGCUUCUUGAAGCAUGUGAAGAAAAAUGGUCAGAAAAACAAGGAAGCCAAAGAGAAAGUUACCUGGAUUCAGCUGAAGUGCCAGCCUGCUCCACUAGAGAAGCACACUUUGUGAGAACCAAUGAGAAGGAGCCUGAGCUGCUAGAACCUCUUUCUUAUGGAUUCAUGGCAUAA